rnacentral:rRNA from 1 species
GCCCAGACUCCUACGGGAGGCAGCAGUGGGGGAUAUUGCACAAUGGGGGAAACCCUGAUGCAGCGACGCCGCGUGUGGGAAGACGGUCUUCUGGAUUGUAAACCACUGUCCCCAGGGACGAAAAUGACGGUACCUGGGGAGGAAGCUCCGGCUAACUACGUGCCAGCAGCCGCGGUAAUACGUAGGGGGCAAGCGUUAUCCGGAUUCACUGGGUGUAAAGGGAGCGUAGACGGCGACGCAAGUCUGGAGUGAAAGCCCGGGGCCCAACCCCGGGACUGCUCUGGAAACUGCGGCGCUGGAGUACGGGAGGGGCAGGCGGAAUUCCUGGUGUAGCGGUGAAAUGCGUAGAUAUCAGGAGGAACACCGGCGGCGAAGGCGGCCUGCUGGACCGUGACUGACGUUGAGGCUCGAGAGUGUGGGGAGCAAACAGGAUUAGAUACCCCUGUA